CAUGCUAGAGCACUUUUUCAAUGUGCUCCCCAACGAAAAGGCAACAACGCAUUCGUAUGUCAAUCCAUAUCAACUUUCAAUGCCAUUGACUGCGCCUACCAUGGUGACCAUGGGUAACGGGGGAAUCAGGGUUCGAUUCCGUACAGGGACCCUGACAAACGGCUACCACAUUCAAGGAAGGCAG